UACAGAGGGUGCGAGCGUUAAUCGGAAUUACUGGGCGUAAAGCGUGCGUAGACGGUCAAGUAAGUCGGGUGUGAAAGCCCCGGGCUCAACCUGGGAAUUGCAUUCGAGACUGCGUGGCUAGGGUGCGGAAGAGGGAAGCGGAAUUUCCGGUGUAGCGGUGAAAUGCGUAGAUAUCGGAAGGAACACCAGUGGCGAAGGCGGCGACCUGGGUCGAGACUGACGCUGAGGCGCGAAAGCGUGGGGAGCAAACAGG
rnacentral:rRNA from 1 species